UACGUAGGGGGGCAAGCGUUGUCCGGAAUCAUUGGGCGUAAAGCGCGUGUAGGCGGUUCGGUAAGUCCGCUGUGAAAGUCGGGGGCUCAACCCUCGGAUGCCGGUGGAUACUGUCGGGCUCGAGUACGGAAGAGGCGAGUGGAAUUCCUGGUGUAGCGGUGAAAUGCGCAGAUAUCAGGAGGAACACCAAUUGCGAAGGCAGCUCGCUGGGACGUUACUGACGCUGAGACGCGAAAGCGUGGGGAGCAAACAGG
rnacentral:rRNA from 1 species